AGAGCGAACGCUGGCGGCAGGCCUAAUACAUGCAAGUCGAGCGGUCCCUUCGGGGGCAGCGGCGGACGGGUGAGUAACGCGUGGGAACGUGCCCUUUGGUACGGAACAACUGAGGGAAACUUCAGCUAAUACCGUAUGUGCCCUUCGGGGGAAAGAUUUAUCGCCAUUGGAGCGGCCCGCGUUGGAUUAGGUAGUUGGUGAGGUAAAGGCUCACCAAGCCUACGAUCCAUAGCUGGUCUGAGAGGAUGAUCAGCCACACUGGGACUGAGACACGGCCCAGACUCCUACGGGAGGCAGCAGUAGGGGAUCUUGCGCAAUGGGCGAAAGCCUGACGCAGCCAUGCCGCGUGAAUGAUGAAGGUCUUAGGAUUGUAAAAUUCUUUCACCGGGGACGAUAAUGACGGUACCGAGAAGAAGCCCGGCUAACUCGUGCCAGCAGCCGC
rnacentral:rRNA from 1 species